CGGAGAGGGCGCAUGAGAGAUGGCUCCUACGUCCAAGGAUGGCAGCAGGCGCGAAAAUUGUCCACUCUUUGUUGAGGAGACAGUUAUGAGGUGUGAGCGAAAGAGCGGAGAGUAAACAUCUCUGUGUAACGCAAUUGGAGGGCAAGUUUUGGUGCCAGCAGCCGCGGUAAUUCCAACUCCAAGAGUGCCCAUGGUGGAUGCUGCAGUUAAAAAGUCCGUAGUCGUAGAUACAAUUAAAAGGUGUUGAUCAAGUACAUCUAGUUUGUUAAUUGUGGCGGAGCGGAUAGGGGGCAUGGUAUAGGUUGGCAAAGAAUGAAAUCUCAAGACCCAACCUGGACCAACUGAGGCGAAAGCGGUGCCCUUAUACGCAUCUGAGGAUCAAGGACGAAGGCUGGAGGAUCGAAAGUGAUUAGAUACCGCUGUAGUUCCAGCAGUAAACUAUGCCGACAUUCUCUGUUCGUAUGGACGGGGAAGGGAGAAAUCUUAGUUUUCGGGCUCUGGGGAUAGUACGCUUGCAAGAGUGAAGCUUAAAGCGAAAUUGACGGAAGGACACUACCAGGAGUGGAUUGUACUGCUUAAUUUGACUCAACGCGGGAAAACUUACCAGGAUCAAGCCCACCGUAGACCGACUACGCGAGGUGGGCAGGAGUGGUGCAUGGCCGCUGGAAAUUGAUGGGACGACCUUUAGCUCAAAUGCUGUAACCAGUGAGAUCUUCUAGACAGGUGUUUUACGACACAGGAGGGAGAAGGCUAUAACAGGUCCGUGAUGCCCUCAGAUGCCCUGGGCUGCAAGUGCAAUACAAUAUCCAUUAGUCAAUACAAACGUAUUAUGGAUGAGUAGGAUUAGCUCUUGUAAAUGAGCUAUGAAUGCGGAAUUCCUAGUAACCGUGCCUCAUCAAGGCACUGUGAAUGCGUCCCUGUUCUUUGUACACACCGCCCGUCACUAUUUCAGAUGGCCAUAAGGAUGAAGAGCUUCGGUUCUGAAUAUUUAUGUCUAGAUAAAGUACAAGUCGUAACAAGGUAACC
rnacentral:rRNA from 1 species